UACUAUGAAAGAGCACUUACGCUAUCAACUAAAAGCUUAAGCACUUAUUCCGGCUUGGCGUACACUUACCAUUUGCAGGGGAAUUUCUCAGCUGCUAUCUCUCAUUAUCACAAGGCCUUGUGGUUGAAACCUGAUGAUCAAUUCUGUACCGAGAUGUUGAACGUGGCUCUCAUGGAUGAAUGCCAGAACGGGCUUGAUUCAACGGUUGAGCUCUGUUGAGAAUUUGGUCAGUUAAAUCAACCGCCUUAUUUUCUAG